UGGAUUCGUUUUUUUUCUCUUCCAGCAUAAAUCACCGUGCACACCUUUUCAAAGAAAACUCAACUUGUGUGCUUCCUGAACUUCUUCAACGUGCAGCUACCUAAGACGUGUUGCUGCUUCCAUUUCUCCAAGACCCUUUGCUGUUGCAGCGCACCAAUCAAUGCCCUUUCCUUUCCAACCGAGACAUCAAACACAUUCUCCCAUCAAUUCACCUUUUCAUUCUCCAAAUAAAUUAAAGAAAGAAAGCUAUUUUAAGCUGCCAGCCGUCCAAUCACCAUACACCCCCACCUAAUCUAAUAUUCAUCUCAUUCAAUAAAAUAAAGUAAAGCUAGACACUACUAGAAUAAAUGAAAGUACUCCUAAUUAAACCCCAAAAACCGGACACUGCACCUACCAACCGAGACACUAUCUAAUCAAGCUCAUACUUCUUCAUUCACAAGGAGAUAAAAGAAAAUAAACUAGCCAACCUAUGACAACUAUCACGUCCCAUCACCAUUUCUUGUGCUACAAAGUUCUAGUACAGUCGACUACAGUACUAAUGGAUU
rnacentral:lncRNA from 1 species